UACAGAGGUCUCAAGCGUUGUUCGGAUUCAUUGGGCGUAAAGGGUGCGUAGGCGGCGCGGUAAGUCGGGUGUGAAAUCUCGGGGCUCAACCCCGAAACUGCACUUGAUACUGUGGUGCUCGAGUACUGGAGAGGAGAUUGGAAUUUACGGUGUAGCAGUGAAAAUGCGUAGAUAUCGUAAGGAAGACCAGUGGCGAAGGCGAAUCUCUGGACAGUUACUGACACUGAAGGCACGA
rnacentral:rRNA from 1 species